GGUUAAGCGACUAAGCGUACACGGUGGAUGCCCUGGCAGUCAGAGGCGAUGAAGGACGUGCUAAUCUGCGAAAAGCGUCGGUAAGGUGAUAUGAACCGUUACAGCCGGCGAUGUCCGAAUGGGGAAACCCAGUGCAAUUCGUUGCACUAUCGUUUGAUGAAUACAUAGUCAAACGAGGCGAACCGGGGGAACUGAAACAUCUAAGUACCCCGAGGAAAAGAAAUCAACCGAGAUUCCCCCAGUAGCGGCGAGCGAACGGGGAGCAGCCCGGAGUCUGAAUCAGCUUGUGUGUUAGUGGAAGCGUCUGGAAAGUCGCAGGGUACAGGGUGAUACUCCCGUACACUAAAACACACAGGCUGUGAACUCGAAGAGUAGGGCGGGACACGUGGUAUCCUGUCUGAAUAUGGGGGGACCAUCCUCCAAGGCUAAAUACUCCUGACUGACCGAUAGUGAACCAGUACCGUGAGGGAAAGGCGAAAAGAACCCCGGCGAGGGGAGUGAAAAAGAACCUGAAACCGUGUACGUACAAGCAGUAGGAGCCCACUUGUUGGGUGACUGCGUACCUUUUGUAUAAUGGGUCAGCGACUUAUAUUCUGUAGCAAGGUUAACCGUAUAGGGGAGCCGCAGGGAAACCGAGUCUUAACUGGGCGUUAAGUUGCAGGGUAUAGACCCGAAACCCGGUGAUCUAGCCAUGGGCAGGUUGAAGGUUGGGUAACACUAACUGGAGGACCGAACCGACUAAUGUUGAAAAAUUAGCGGAUGACUUGUGGCUGGGGGUGAAAGGCCAAUCAAACCGGGAGAUAGCUGGUUCUCCCCGAAAGCUAUUUAGGUAGCGCCUCGUGAAUUCAUCUUCGGGGGUAGAGCACUGUUUCGGCUAGGGGGUCAUCCCGACUUACCAACCCGAUGCAAACUACGAAUACCGAAGAAUGUUAUCACGGGAGACACACGGCGGGUGCUAACGUCCGUCGUGAAGAGGGAAACAACCCAGACCGCCAGCUAAGGUCCCAAAGUCAUGGUUAAGUGGGAAACGAUGUGGGAAGGCCCAGACAGCCAGGAUGUUGGCUUAGAAGCAGCCAUCAUUUAAAGAAAGCGUAAUAGCUCACUGGUCGAGUCGGCCUGCGCGGAAGAUGUAACGGGGCUAAACCAUGCACCGAAGCUGCGGCAGCGACACUAUGUGUUGUUGGGUAGGGGAGCGUUCUGUAAGCCGUUGAAGGUGGCCUGUGAGGGUUGCUGGAGGUAUCAGAAGUGCGAAUGCUGACAUAAGUAACGAUAAUGCGGGUGAAAAACCCGCACGCCGGAAGACCAAGGGUUCCUGUCCAACGUUAAUCGGGGCAGGGUGAGUCGACCCCUAAGGCGAGGCCGAAAGGCGUAGUCGAUGGGAAACAGGUUAAUAUUCCUGUACUUGGUGUUACUGCGAAGGGGGGACGGAGAAGGCUAUGUUGGCCGGGCGACGGUUGUCCCGGUUUAAGCGUGUAGGUGUGUGUUCCAGGUAAAUCCGGUUCACUUUAACACUGAGGCGUGAUGACGAGGCACUACGGUGCUGAAGUGACAAAUGCCCUGCUUCCAGGAAAAGCCUCUAAGCAUCAGGUAACAUCAAAUCGUACCCCAAACCGACACAGGUGGUCAGGUAGAGAAUACCAAGGCGCUUGAGAGAACUCGGGUGAAGGAACUAGGCAAAAUGGUGCCGUAACUUCGGGAGAAGGCACGCUGAUACGUAGGUGAAGUGGUUUACCCAUGGAGCUGAAAUCAGUCGAAGAUACCAGCUGGCUGCAACUGUUUAUUAAAAACACAGCACUGUGCAAACACGAAAGUGGACGUAUACGGUGUGACGCCUGCCCGGUGCCGGAAGGUUAAUUGAUGGGGUUAUCCGUAAGGAGAAGCUCUUGAUCGAAGCCCCGGUAAACGGCGGCCGUAACUAUAACGGUCCUAAGGUAGCGAAAUUCCUUGUCGGGUAAGUUCCGACCUGCACGAAUGGCGUAAUGAUGGCCAGGCUGUCUCCACCCGAGACUCAGUGAAAUUGAACUCGCUGUGAAGAUGCAGUGUACCCGCGGCAAGACGGAAAGACCCCGUGAACCUUUACUAUAGCUUGACACUGAACACUGGUCCUUGAUGUGUAGGAUAGGUGGGAGGCUUUGAAGUGUGGACGCCAGUCUGCAUGGAGCCAUCCUUGAAAUACCACCCUUUAAUGGCUGGUGUUCUAACGUGGGCCCGUAAUCCGGGUUGCGGACAGUGUCUGGUGGGUAGUUUGACUGGGGCGGUCUCCUCCUAAAGAGUAACGGAGGAGCACGAAGGUCAGCUAAUCCUGGUCGGACAUCAGGAGGUUAGUGCAAUGGCAUAAGCUGGCUUGACUGCGAGCGUGACGGCGCGAGCAGGUGCGAAAGCAGGUCAUAGUGAUCCGGUGGUUCUGAAUGGAAGGGCCAUCGCUCAACGGAUAAAAGGUACUCCGGGGAUAACAGGCUGAUACCGCCCAAGAGUUCAUAUCGACGGCGGUGUUUGGCACCUCGAUGUCGGCUCAUCACAUCCUGGGGCUGAAGUAGGUCCCAAGGGUAUGGCUGUUCGCCAUUUAAAGUGGUACGCGAGCUGGGUUUAGAACGUCGUGAGACAGUUCGGUCCCUAUCUGCCGUGGGCGCUGGAGAAUUGAGGGGGGCUGCUCCUAGUACGAGAGGACCGGAGUGGACGCAUCACUGGUGUUCGGGUUGUCAUGCCAAUGGCAUUGCCCGGUAGCUAAAUGCGGAAGAGAUAAGUGCUGAAAGCAUCUAAGUACGAAACUUGCCCCGAGAUGAGUUCUCCCUGACUCCUUGAGAGUCCUGAAGGAACGUUGAAGACGACGACGUUGAUAGGCCGGGUGUGUAAGCGCAGCGAUGCGUUGAGCUAACCGGUACUAAUGAACCGUGAGGCUUAACCUU
rnacentral:rRNA from 1 species